CUUUUCGAGGUAGGAGUCGACUCCUGUGAGGUAUGGUGCUGGGUGCAGAUGCAGUGUGGCUCUGGAUAGCACCUUAUGGACAGUUGUGUCCCCAAGGAAGGAUGAGAAUAGCUACUGAAGUCCUAAAGAGCAAGCCUAACUCAAGCCAUUGGCACACAGGCAUUAGACAGAAAGCUGGAAGUUGAAAUGGUGGAGUCCAACUUGCCUGGACCAGCUUAAUGGUUCUGCUCCUGGUAACGUUUUUAUCCAUGGAUGACUUGCUUGGGUAUGGAGAGUCGGCUUGACUACACUGUGUGGAGCAAGUUUUAAAGAAGCAAAGGGUUUUUAAUGACCACAACAAGCAAGCAUGCAGCUUACUGCUUGAAAGGUGAGGAUUGGAAAUGUUGGGACUAUUAUAAUUGCAGAAUACAUGAUGAUCUCAAUCCAACUUGAACUCUCUCACUGAUUACUUGAUGACAAUAAAAUAUCUGAUAUUCUGCA
rnacentral:lncRNA from 1 species